rnacentral:rRNA from 1 species
AACAUGCAGUCGAACGAACCUUCGGGUUAGUGGCGGACGGGUGAGUACGCGUGAGAAUCUGCCCUCAGGAGGGGGAUAACGGUUGGAAACGACCGCUAAUACCCCAUAUGCCUAUUGGUGAAAUGAAUUUCGCCUGAGGAUGAGCUCGCGUCUGAUUAGCUAGUUGGUGAGGUAAUGGCUCACCAAGGCUUCGAUCAGUAGCUGGUCUGAGAGGAUGAUCAGCCACACUGGGACUGAGACACGGCCCAAACUCCUACGGGAGGCAGCAGUGGGGAAUCUUGCACAAUGGAGGAAACUCUGAUGCAGCGAUGCCGCGUGAGUGAAGAAGGCCUUUGGGUUGUAAAGCUCUUUCGUCGGGGAAGAAAAUGACGGUACCCGAAUAAGAAGGUCCGGCUAACUUCGUGCCAGCAGCCGCGGUAAUACGAAGGGACCUAGCGUAGUUCGGAAUUACUGGGCUUAAAGAGCUCGUAGGUGGUUACAAAAGUUGAUGGUGAAAUCCCAAGGCUCAACCUUGGAACUGCCAUCAAAACUUUUUAGCUAGAGUGUGAUAGAGGAAAGUGGAAUUUCUAGUGUAGAGGUGAAAUCCGUAGAUAUUAGAAAGAACACCAAAUGCGAAGGCAACUUUCUGGGUCACUACUGACACUGAGGAGCGAAAGCAUGGGUAGCGAAGAGGAUAGAUCCCUCGUAGUCCAGCUGUAAACGAUGUGUGCUAGACGUUGGAAAUAUAUUUUCAGUGUCGCAGCGAAAGA